AAAUUGGUUUAUGGCAUCGUUAAUAUUCUUCGUAGGUCUAACAUGCCUUAGACUAACUGAUCAUCCUAUAUUGAAAAGAAAGGGGGCAAUACACAUGGCAGGAGAUAUCGUAGGCACUAUCGGUGAAUUCGUAAAAUUAAUCAUCGAAACAGUUCAAAAAUUCACUCAAAAAUAAUUCCUUAUUUAUUGUCCUUUGAGUAUAAGCACUAAAUUGUUUAAUCCUUAAAGCAGGAAUCGGUGUUUGUCCUUGCAUUGAUUCCUGCAUCUCUCAUAUAUGUAUAUCGGAAAUGAAGCGUUCGGUAUGCAUAUCAUUGUAGUUAAAUUAUCGUGAGUAACAUUAAAUUUAUCAAAUAUCGGUAAAUUCACUAAAUUUUUUUCAUAAUUAAUAACAUCCCCAAAAAUAGAUAGAAAAAUAACUGUAAACAUUCCCUUAAUAAUAAGUAAAACCCAUGAGUUCCUCCCAAACUCAUGGG
rnacentral:ncRNA from 1 species